AGAUGAUUGCUAAUAAGGAAUCGUCAGAUUCAAAAACAGACGCGCCGGCGGCAAGUUUCAGUGGCGGGAACGGAGAUUUGGAUAAAGAUGCGGGCUCGGAAAAUGGUCGAACAGGUGGUGGGCAUGAAAAAGUCAAUGAGAUUGCUAAGGAAUUGUCAGAUUCAGGAACAGAAUUGGUUGCUAAGGAUGAGCUGGUGAAGAAUUCUUGCCAGGUGGCUGGGAGUUUCAGUGAUUUGGAUGCAGGAGUCAGCUCGGCAAAUGGUCGAACAGGUGGUGGGCAUGAAAAAACCGAUGCAUUUGAUGAAAGUGGGGAAUCUGACGAGUUUAAGGCGGCCAAGGCUUCGAAAUCGGGAUCGUAUGUGAUUGAGAUGAACUGGGAUGGCGGGGAGAAAGUUUGCAGGAUCUGUCAUUUGAGCUCUGAAGGGUCGAUGGAGGUAGUGGCGGCUGCUCCUGGUGUGGUAGUGACAU
rnacentral:lncRNA from 1 species